rnacentral:rRNA from 1 species
AUUGAACGCUGGCGGCAGGCUUAACACAUGCAAGUCGAACGGUAACAUAAAGAAGCUUGCUUCUUUGAUGACGAGUGGCGGACGGGUGAGUAAUGCUUGGGAAUCUAGCUUAUGGAGGGGGAUAACUACGGGAAACUGUAGCUAAUACCGCGUAGAAUCGAGAGAUGAAAGUGUGGGACCUUCGGGCCACAUGCCAUAGGAUGAGCCCAAGUGGGAUUAGGUAGUUGGUGAGGUAAAGGCUCACCAAGCCGACGAUCUCUAGCUGGUCUGAGAGGAUGACCAGCCACACUGGGACUGAGACACGGCCCAGACUCCUACGGGAGGCAGCAGUGGGGAAUAUUGCGCAAUGGGGGCAACCCUGUCGCAGCCAUGCCGCGUGAAUGAAGAAGGCCCUCGGGUUGUAAAGUUCUUUCGGUAGCGAGGAAGGCAUUUAGUUUAAUAGACUAGGUGAUUGACGUUAACUACAGAAGAAGCACCGGCUAACUCCGUGC